GCUGGCGGCAGGCCUAACACAUGCAAGUCGAGCGGCCGUAGCAAUACGGCAGCGGCAGACGGGAGAGUAACACGUGGGAACGCGCCCUUCGGUUCGGAAUAACUCAGGGAAACUUGGGCUAAUACCGGAUACGCCCUUACGGGGAAAGAUUUAUUGCCGAAGGAACGGCCCGCGUCCGAUUAGCUUGUUGGUGAGGUAACGGCUCACCAAGGCGACGAUCGGUAGCUGGUCUGAGAGGAUGACCAGCCUCACUGGGACUGAGACACGGCCCAGACUCCUACGGGAGGCAGCAGUGGGGAAUAUUGGACAAUGGGCGCAAGCCUGAUCCAGCCAUGCCGCGUGAGUGAUGAAGGCCCUAGGGUUGUAAAGCUCUUUCAGCGGGGAAGAUAAUGACGGUACCCGCAGAAGAAGCCCCGGCUAACUUCGUGCCAGCAGCCGCGGUAAUACGAAGGGGGCUAGCGUUGCUCGGAAUUACUGGGCGUAAAGCGCACGUAGGCGGAUUGUUAAGUCGGGGGUGAAAUCCUGGAGCUCAACUCCAGAACUGCCUUCGAUACUGGCGAUCUCGAGUUCGGGAGAGGUGAGUGGAACUGCGAGUGUAGAGGUGAAAUUCGUAGAUAUUCGCAAGAACACCA
rnacentral:rRNA from 1 species